rnacentral:rRNA from 1 species
GCUGGUGGCGUGCCUAACACAUGCAAGUCGAGCGGUAACAGGUGUAGCAAUACAUGCUGACGAGCGGCGAACGGGUGAGUAAUGCUUCGGAAUCUGCCCAAUGGUGGGGAAUAACCAGCCGAAAGGUUGGCUAAUACCGCAUAAGUCCUACGGGGGAAAGCAGGGGAUCGCAAGACCUUGCGCCGAUGGAUGAGCCGAAGUCGGAUUAUCUAGUUGGUAGGGUAACGGCCUACCAAGGCGACGAUCCGUAGCUGGUCUGAGAGGACGACCAGCCACACUGGGACUGAGACACGGCCCAGACUCCUACGGGAGGCAGCAGUGGGGAAUAUUGGACAAUGGGGGAAACCCUGAUCCAGCGACGCCGCGUGUGUGAAGAAGGCCUGCGGGUUGUAAAGCACUUUUAGUGGGGAUGAAGAGCUCAGGGCUAACACCUCUGGGUCUUGACCUAACCCACAGAAAAAGCACCGGCUAACUCUGUGCCAGCAGCCGCGGUAAUACAGAGGGUGCGAGCGUUAAUCGGAAUUACUGGGCGUAAAGCGUGCGUANACGGUUAUGUAAGUCGGGUGUGAAAGCCCCGGGCU